GUUGAUUGUGGUAGCAACAGCUGACUCGGCAAAUUAUAUAUUUGAUACAUGGAAGCUACACAGGGAUGAAAUUUGCUACAUGGGAACUACAGAGGAAACCAAUUUUACACGACUGGUCACAUUGUAAAUAAGAGAAAUAAAUAAGCGGGAGUCUAAAAAAGACAAGAGCGAUUGCUAAUUAUUAUACAAAAAAAAGUGCCUCUCUGUAAAAUCAUUGUAGUUUGCGCUACUGGGCCGUCUAUCACCAAAUAUGCCUUGCUCGAAUUCAAUACGAAUGGAAUGGGAAGGCAGCGAUGGAAGAGUGGAGAGCGGCUAGAAGUCAUUUGUCACGCGCGCGCCUGCAGCUCAAAAGCCGCCGGAAAAUUACUGACAAAAAUUAAGUCGGCCACGGAGUUUCAGUUUAGGUUUUGUGUGAAAAAUGUCGAAAAACCACCCGGCGUGUGCAUCACAAUAAAUAACACCAAAUCUCGGUUUAGAACGUAGGUUUUUGUUGCUUUCACUAAUGCGUGCUUCAACAUAACCUCAGUUACUAGCAAAAUAAACGUUGAAACAUGCUGUCGUACACGUUCUGCCAUCGCGAAAUCAUUCCUUGUCAGUGCUUGGCAAAACAAGAAGUUUAAACAUUUGUGUUUUGUUCUAUUGGUGUGCGCAGUGCGCCCAUGGAAAAAGUUGAGAGCAGGAGAUCCGUUAGUUGGCGCUCUCUCAUGUUCAAGUCACAUAUACUAUUACGAGGUGAGGCAUUUUUAGGCAGUUUCUAUGCAUUUGUGUUUGUUCGCGCCUGAAAGGGAGAGAAGAAAAGUGAAAAACAAAAUGUGCAAAUUGUUGGGCGGAAAUUUGCAAAGCACGUAAGAUGCGCUUAGAAUUUGACAUUGUAAGAGGAAAGCGAAGAGAGCACAAUAUUAAGGAAAAGGAAGUGACAUACUCAGAAAAGAGUGAAACAGUGAGUGAAAUACAAACGAAUGAGUGAAAAACCAAGGGCAAACAAUUCCAGAAGGAAAAGUGAUUGCAAGAAAUGAACAUAAAAUACAAAUUUAUAAAAAACUAAUUUUAAAGCGGUUUUACCGGAGGAUCUCGUGUAAAA
rnacentral:sRNA from 1 species